UGACGUCACGCCCCAUGAACUCGCAGUAUGUACACAUUGGACCCUCGAGGAAGUUAGAAGAGGAAUAUGACCAGCCUACACGCCGUAUAGAUCAGUGCUUCGCCCACAGAGGGAACUGCGACUAACUGACAGCGAGGAAGAAUGCCGAGGAGAAAACAAUCAAACCCACAGCCCGUCAAAUUGCUAUAUUAGUGUGAUAAAGGUUGUGUAUUCCAGUAGACGGUGUAGUAUAAUGAUGUAGACGGUGUGGAGUGUGAACCAGGAUGCCUGGUUCUGGACAGUGACUUCCUGCUUAGUGGAGAGCUCUGUGAGUUUGGAGACACAGAGAUCAUGGGGCUGGACAGAGACACAGGUCAGACACACACACACACACACACACACACACUUACACAUAUACACAAACACGGACCAACUUGAUCUCAUAGUUUCACUUCCGAAAUUAUGGAUGAACGUCUAUUUUGUGAUGCAUUAGUUCUGCGUGGUUACAGGUUUACUUCCGAACGGUAAAGGGUUAACUCCGAACGGUAAACCGGGUUAACUCCGAAUGGUAAACAGGGUUAACUCCGAGUGGUAAACAGGGUUAACUCCGAACGGUAAACAGGGUUAACUCCGAGUGGUAAACAGGGUUAACUCCGAACGGUAAACAGGGUUAACUCCGAGUGGUAAACAGGGUUAACUCCGAGUGGUAAACAGGGUUAACUCCGAGUGGUAAACAGGGUUAACUCCGAGUGGUAAACAGGGUUAACUCCGUGCGGUAAACAGGGUUAACUCCGAGUGGUAAACAGGGUUAAUUCUGCAUAGUUUAAAAUAGAAACAACUCGAAAGGUUGAAGCUUAGGUAUUAUUAAGUCCGAGGGGUUAAUGUCCACGCCCCCGUGGGAAUUCUUUUAGCAUAAUAACACAAUCCCCAUUUUAAAAUCCAUCAGUUUAAACUAGAGAUAUCACCUUUUGUUGCAUUGGAUUGCGUCUCAAUCCCAUGGCAUCCACCGAUGUCUCACUUUCCCAUCUGCGGUGAAAGGUGACCGAGCUAGAGCGGUGUUUGUCAGACCAAGAGACAUCCAGAAAAUCAUUAUUCUCACAAAAUUGGUUUUGCAACAUCCGGAUGGUUUGGCCUUCAAAACUAUUAUGAAAAGACGAGACUCUCACAAACAUGACGGUGUUCUCUGUUUUUCUCUACGACCCCCACAAGAGUCUUGGGACCCGUGUGAAGCCGGUACCGCUGAUCUGCCAACCUCUGUCUGUGGCGAACAGUUUGGGUUACACACUAAUAUGGACCCGUCUGUGGAAAGGUGAGACGGUGUCUUUUGUGGGUGGGUGUCUUUUGCUCUAGGACACCCGCAGGUCUCACAGGACUUGUCUGAAGGUUCGCCUGCACCAGUUG
ensembl:lncRNA